rnacentral:rRNA from 1 species
CAGCCGCCGCGGGAAUACAGAGGGUGCGAGCGUUAAUCGGAUUUACUGGGCGUAAAGCGUGCGUAGGCGGCUAAUUGAGUCGGAUGUGAAAUCCCCGAGCUUAACUUGGGAAUUGCAUUCGAUACUGGUUAGCUAGAGUGUGGGAGAGGAUGGUAGAAUUCCAGGUGUAGCGGUGAAAUGCGUAGAGAUCUGGAGGAAUACCGAUGGCGAAGGCAGCCAUCUGGCCUAACACUGACGCUGAGGUACGAAAGCAUGGGGAGCAAACAGGAUUAGAUACCCGCGUAGUCCCUGUCUCUUAUAC